rnacentral:rRNA from 1 species
AUUGAACGCUGGCGGCAGGCUUAACACAUGCAAGUCGAGCGGGGGAAGGUAGCUUGCUACCGGACCUAGCGGCGGACGGGUGAGUAAUGCUUAGGAGUCUGCCUAUUAGUGGGGGACAACAUCUCGAAAGGGAUGCUAAUACCGCAUACGUCCUACGGGAGAAAGCAGGGGAUCUUCGGACCUUGCGCUAAUAGAUGAGCCUAAGUCGGAUUAGCUAGUUGGUGGGGUAAAGGCCUACCAAGGCGACGAUCUGUAGCGGGUCUGAGAGGAUGAUCCGCCACACUGGGACUGAGACACGGCCCAGACUCCUACGGGAGGCGGCAGUGGGGAAUAUUGGACAAUGGGGGGAACCCUGAUCCAGCCAUGCCGCGUGUGUGAAGAAGGCCUUAUGGUUGUAAAGCACUUUAAGCGAGGAGGAGGCUACUCUAGUUAAUACCUAGGGAUAGUGGACGUUACUCGCAGAAUAAGCACCGGCUAACUCUGUGCCAGCCGCCGCCGUAA